UACGUAGGGGGCUAGCGUUGUCCGGAAUCAUUGGGCGUAAAGCGCGUGUAGGCGGCCCGGUAAGUCCGCUGUGAAAGUCGGGGGCUCAACCCUCGAAAGCCGGUGGAUACUGUCGGGCUAGAGUACGGAAGAGGCGAGUGGAAUUCCUGGUGUAGCGGUGAAAUUCGUAGAUAUUGGGAAGAACACCGGUGGCGAAGGCGGCGACCUGGUCCGAGACUGACGCUGAGGCGCGAAAGCGUGGGGAGCAAACGGG
rnacentral:rRNA from 1 species